GACGAACGCUGGCGGCGUGCCUAAUACAUGCAAGUCGAGCGAGCGGAACCAACAGAUUUACUUCGGUAAUGACGUUGGGAAAGCGAGCGGCGGAUGGGUGAGUAACACGUGGGGAACCUGCCCCUAAGUCUGGGAUACCAUUUGGAAACAGGUGCUAAUACCGGAUAAUAAAGCAGAUCGCAUGAUCAGCUUUUGAAAGGCGGCGUAAGCUGUCGCUAAGGGAUGGCCCCGCGGUGCAUUAGCUAGUAGGCGAGGUAACGGCCCACCUAGGCGACGAUCAGUAGCCGGACUGAGAGGUUGACCGGCCACAUUGGGACUGAGACACGGCCCAG
rnacentral:rRNA from 1 species